GUUAUAGGGACAAGUGAAUAAGUGCACAUGGCGGAUGCCUUGGCGAUUACAGGCGAUGAAGGACGUAGUAGCUUGCGAUAAGCUGCGGGGAGCUAGCAAACAAGCUUUGAUCCGCAGAUUUCCGAAUGGGGAAACCCACCCUUUUAGGGUAUCACUCACUGAAUACAUAGGUGUGUGAGGCGAACGCGGCGAACUGAAACAUCUAAGUAGCUGCAGGAAAAGAAAUCAACCGAGAUUCCCAAAGUAGUGGCGAGCGAAAUGGGAAGAGCCUGUACGUGAUAGUCAGUCUGAUAGAAGAAUCCUCUGGAAAUAGGAACCAUAGCGGGUGAUAGUCCCGUAUUCGAAAUCAGAUUGGUGGUACUAAGCGUACGACAAGUAGGGCGGGACACGAGAAAUCCUGUCUGAAUAUGGGGGGACCAUCCUCCAAGGCUAAAUACUCGUAAUCGACCGAUAGUGAACCAGUACCGUGAGGGAAAGGCGAAAAGAACCCCGGGAGGGGAGUGAAAUAGAUCCUGAAACCGUGUGCAUACAAACAGUAGGAGCCUCGCAAGGGGUGACUGCGUACCUUUUGUAUAAUGGGUCAGCGACUUACAUUCAGUGGCAAGGUUAACCAAAUAGGGAAGCCGUAGAGAAAUCGAGUCCGAACAGGGCGAUAGUCGCUGGGUGUAGACCCGAAACCAAGUGAUCUACUCAUGGCCAGGAUGAAGGUGCGGUAACACGCACUGGAGGUCCGAACCCACUAAUGUUGAAAAAUUAGGGGAUGAGCUGUGGGUAGGGGUGAAAGGCUAAACAAACUUGGAAAUAGCUGGUUCUCUCCGAAAACUAUUUAGGUAGUGCCUCAAGUAUCACCAUCGGGGGUAGAGCACUGUUAUGGCUAGGGGGUCAUCGCGACUUACCAAACCAUUGCAAACUCCGAAUACCGAUGAGUGCGAGCUUGGGAGACAGACGUCGGGUGCUAACGUCCGGCGUCAAGAGGGAAACAACCCAGACCGCCAGCUAAGGUCCCAAAGAUUGGCUAAGUGGAAAACGAAGUGGGAAGGCUAAAACAGUCAGGAUGUUGGCUUAGAAGCAGCCAUCAUUUAAAGAAAGCGUAAUAGCUCACUGAUCGAGUCGUCCUGCGCGGAAGAUGUAACGGGGCUAAGCCAGUCACCGAAGCUGCGGAUAUCCGUNNNNNNNNNNNNNNNNNNNNNNNNNNNNNNNNNNNNNNNNNNNNNNNNNNNNNNNNNNNNNNNNNNNNNNNNNNNNNNNNNNNNNNNNNNNUGUUCACGAGCAAUCGGAAGUGGUUCCAAGAAAAGCCUCUAAGCUUCAGUCAUACGAGACCGUACCGCAAACCGACACAGGUGGGCGAGAUGAGUAUUCUAAGGCGCUUGAGAGAACUCGGGAGAAGGAACUCGGCAAAUUGGUACCGUAACUUCGGGAAAAGGUACGCCUCGGUAGCUUGGUCACUUUACUGUGAUAGGGCGAAAAGGUUGCAAUAAACUGGUGGCUGCGACUGUUUAAUAAAAACACAGCACUCUGCAAACACGAAAGUGGACGUAUAGGGUGUGACGCCUGCCCGGUGCUGGAAGAUUAAAUGAUGGGGUGCAAGCUCUUGAUUGAAGUCCCAGUAAACGGCGGCCGUAACUAUAACGGUCCUAAGGUAGCGAAAUUCCUUGUCGGGUAAGUUCCGACCUGCACGAAUGGCGUAACGAUGGCCACACUGUCUCCUCCCGAGACUCAGCGAAGUUGAAGUGUUUGUGAUGAUGCAAUCUACCCGCGGCUAGACGGAAAGACCCCAUGAACCUUUACUGUAGCUUUGCAUUGGACUUUGAAUCAAUCUGUGUAGGAUAGGUGGGAGGCUUUGAAGUAGGGACGCCAGUUCCUAUGGAGCCAUCCUUGAAAUACCACCCUGGUUCAUUUGAGGUUCUAACCUUGGCCCGUUAUCCGGGUCGGGGACAGUGCAUGGUAGGCAGUUUGACUGGGGCGGUCUCCUCCUAAAGUGUAACGGAGGAGUUCGAAGGUACGCUAGGUACGGUCGGACAUCGUGCUAAUAGUGCAAUGGCAUAAGCGUGCUUAACUGCGAGACCGACAAGUCGAGCAGGUACGAAAGUAGGACAUAGUGAUCCGGUGGUUCUGUAUGGAAGGGCCAUCGCUCAACGGAUAAAAGGUACUCUGGGGAUAACAGGCUGAUUCCUCCCAAGAGUUCAUAUCGACGGGGGAGUUUGGCACCUCGAUGUCGGCUCAUCACAUCCUGGGGCUGUAGCCGGUCCCAAGGGUAUGGCUGUUCGCCAUUUAAAGUGGUACGUGAGCUGGGUUUAAAACGUCGUGAGACAGUUUGGUCCCUAUCUGCCGUGGGCGUUGGAAAUUUGAAGGGGGCUGCUCCUAGUACGAGAGGACCGGAGUGGACGAACCUCUGGUGUACCGGUUGUCACGCCAGUGGCAUUGCCGGGUAGCUAAGUUCGGAAGAGAUAACCGCUGAAAGCAUCUAAGCGGGAAACUUGCCUUAAGAUGAGAUUUCCCGGAGCCUUGAGCUCCUUGAAGGGUCGUUCGAGACCAGGACGUUGAUAGGUCAGGUGUGGAAGUGCAGUAAUGCAUUAAGCUAACUGAUACUAAUUGCCCGUACGGCUUGUCCCUAUAACCUU
rnacentral:rRNA from 1 species